UCAAAUUCAUGUUCCAGUCUUUUUUGUCCUCCACCACCCACUUUCAGUGGCCGUUAUUCCGUGAAGUUUGGAACCUAAGCUUUGAAAACUCGUAUGGCGCCUGUCUAAAGUCAAGCACGCUUAGUA
rnacentral:lncRNA from 1 species